UGAGUAAUGUCUGGGAAACUGCCCGAUGGAGGGGGAUAACUACUGGAAACGGUAGCUAAUACCGCAUAACGUCUUCGGACCAAAGUGGGGGACCUUCGGGCCUCACACCAUCGGAUGUGCCCAGAUGGGAUUAGCUAGUAGGUGGGGUAAUGGCUCACCUAGGCGACGAUCCCUAGCUGGUCUGAGAGGAUGACCAGCCACACUGGAACUGAGACACGGUCCAGACUCCUACGGGAGGCAGCAGUGGGGAAUAUUGCACAAUGGGCGCAAGCCUGAUGCAGCCAUGCCGCGUGUAUGAAGAAGGCCUUCGGGUUGUAAAGUACUUUCAGUGGGGAGGAAGGCGUUAAGGUUAAUAGCCUUGACGAUUGACGUUACCCGCAGAAGAAGCACCGGCUAACUCCGUGCCAGCAGCCGCGGUAAUACGGAGGGUGCAAGCGUUAAUCGGAAUUACUGGGCGUAAAGCGCACGCAGGCGGUCUGUCAAGUCGGAUGUGAAAUCCCCGGG
rnacentral:rRNA from 1 species